rnacentral:rRNA from 1 species
GACGAACGCUGGCGGCGUGCUUAACACAUGCAAGUCGAACGGUGAAGCUCCAGCUUUCUGGAGUGGAUCAGUGGCGAACGGGUGAGUAACACGUGAGCAACCUGCCCCUGACUCUGGAAUAAGCGCUGGAAACGGCGUCUAAUACUGGGUACGAGAAGGGUCCGCAUGGGCACUUUCUGGAAAGUUUUGCGGUUGGGGAUGGGCUCGCGGCAUAUCAGCUUGUUGGUGAGGUAAUGGCUCACCAAGGCGACGACGGGUAGCAGGCCUGAGAGGGCGACCGGCCACACUGGGACUGAGACACGGCCCAGACUCCUACCGGCGGCAGCAGUGGGGAAUAUUGCGCAAUGGGCGAAAGCCUGAUGCAGCGACGCCGCGUGAGGGAUGACGGCCUUCGGGUUGUAAACCUCUUUCAGCAGGGAAGAAGCGAAAGUGACGGUACCUGCAGAAGAAGCACCGGCUAACUACGUG